AAUACUGUUGUUUCCAGUUUAGAGAAGAGGAAGCUGAGGCUUAGGGGGCUGAAGUAACUUGAUCAAGUCCAGGCAAUGUGUAAAUGGUAGAGUCAGGAUUCGAACCUCUGACUGACUCAGAGACUGUGCACUUUCCACUAUAACAGAGGGUCCAUGCAGGGAAGUAGGAAAAAAAAGGGUCUGUGGUCUCUUCUGGUCAUGUGCAGCCUUGGGUGGGAGGGUGGUGGCUGUGGUUGCAGGGUCAGGCAACGGAACUCCAGGUUUUCUGUGCUGGCCUGGGUCCAGGAUGACUGGGCCUCUGCCUCUCCACCCCCGUCCUAGUGGAAGAGCUACUGGCCUCUAGGGUGGGAGGCAGGGGAAGGCAGGAUGGCGGGAGAUUCUGGAAAGAAAUUCAAGAUACCGCCUUGGUGGUAGGUUGUCUUUACCAAGACGACCUCGAGCCUUGCUUGCCUCUUUGCAAAAGCCCGCCCUGACUCCCCCUUCCCCACAUCUCUGACCUCCCCUUGGGUCCAUGCAGGCUCAGUCUGCACACGGCUUGUUCUGCACUUGUUCUUUGUUGCUGUGAAACAGGCUCCCGGCACAGUCAGCCUCUGUGUGGGAGGACUGGUGGCUGUCUUCGCAGGCAGGCAUUUGUUCAGAGCAGACUGCGUAUGAGCCCGGCGUCAAGUAUUUCCGGCCUCCUCAAGUCGGCGGUGGUGGGAUGAGGCACUGCUGAGGGGACUGGCUGUGAAGGAUGAGUUCAGGGGGGGAUGACGGACCGCUUCUGGGACCAGUGGUAUCUCUGGUAUCUCCGCUUGCUCCGGCUGCUGGAUCGAGAGUUACCUCUAUCCCAUUUGGUGUCAAAGUUAACAUCUGCUCGUCACCAAGUGGACCCCUGGAGGCCUCUCUUGCUCUACCUCCCAACCUCCAACCCCCCGCCCAACUGGGGAAGUGACAGAUGGAAGAUCAAGUGGCAGAUGGAAGAUCAGAUUUCAGAAAUUGGGAGCUUCAUUCUGAUCUGCAACAGUUCAGACAGGAGUGGAGACUGGCUGGUGUGUGGACAAAUAUAUUCUGUUGACCUGCUGCCCUGAGCUGGGGACAAUACUGGGAAUUUCUUUUAUGGAAAAGAAAAAACAGUGGUGGUUUUUCCUUGGGCAUGUAGGGGACGAUGAAUCAGCAAAUUAUUUGGUAAUUAAAUAACAGACAUUUACUAAAAGUCAUCUCAGGGGAAGGCAUAAUUGAUGUGGUUUGAAAAGUGCUAAGAAAGUGCUCCCUGCCCAAGGCCUCACUGAGUCUGGAAGUGCCUUGGUGCCUAGAAUAGUUCAUUCAUCUCUUUGGGCUAAUGACACUUGGUAGAUCUUUUUAUGAGUGCUAGAAUAAUGCAUUCAACACCCUUGUGUUAAUUUAAGAUUCCUUGGCUGCCGAAGGAGUACAGGAGCAUCAAGGCAGAGUGUGUGUGUAAUGGGGUGGGUGGUGUCUAGAGUGAAUGGAAUGACUCAGACUUGGUAGGAGAUAUUCUAAGAUGAUUUCCUGGAGGAAAGAAGUACCUAACUUGGUAUGGUGGUAGAGAGGGUUGUUGGCAACAUUCUUUCAGAAACUGGAUUGGGGCACUCAUUAUUUUAUUGAGCAUCAGUUUUUCGUUUCUCAGAUAAUGGAAUUAGCUCUAGUAGUACAUGGUGCAAAGCCAUUAUUAACUUAUAAGCCUUUUAAAUUACAUUCUAGAAGCCUUUUUUGCUUUGCCGUAGUAAAUCUUUCUCACAGUACUGGGGAUUUAAACAUUUUAGAAACGACGUUUAAUUAAUGUAAAAGGUAAAAUCCCUUUGAGUUUCAAGAUGUCCUGGGAAUCCAUUCAUUUCCCCUCUACCCCAGACCCAUCCUGUUUCCUCUCAAGUACCAUCCAGGGUUGGCCUGUGGUAAAUGGGAGGGCAGAGGAAAGUGCCUUCCAUGAGGGUGAGUGCUGAACUUACUGGGCCCAUGAAACAUUCCACGGGGAUGCAGGACCCACUUUCAUCAGUGCCAGGAGCGCCGUUUCAGAGAGGCUGAGUGGUCAGUCUCUCUUCUGGGGGGACAGGGCAGAGGGACCACAGAUGGCAGACGGCUCUGGCUGCCACCUGAUGGGGGUUGUAAUUGAGGCUGAGGGCAUGGGGGAAGCCUACACUGUGUUCCCUAUGAAGGAAACAGGGAAGGCUUAUCUUAGAGUCUAGGGACUCUUAACAACUGAGGGAGGAUUCUCCCCUCUUGAACAGACCUUCUGUCUAUGGGGGAGUUUCUUUAGGAGACUAUAAUGAUGUGUCCAAAUGUGAGUAGUUUAAAAGUGCAAUACACACAUACAUACACAGAAACCCACUGAUGCAGGCCCUGGAUAUUACAUCUGUACAUGGGAGGAAUGGGAAACAUUCACUUAGGCAACAUGCGAAUUAGUCAGGAGUGGAACCUA
rnacentral:lncRNA from 1 species